GCAGGAGGAGAUGUUGCGCUGCAGUUCGGAGAGAGAUGCAUUAAGGGGCAACGAGCGAGCCCUUGGCAUUCCCAGACAUCCCUGCAUCAGCAGAAAUCUGCCACAAGACGAGAUGACGGGCAGGAUGUGCUCCGGCGCAGGACGGACUUGAACCGAACCAAACUGCAGGAAGCGCCAACAUCUGCUUUAACCAUGGCUUCACUGAGGUUGCUUGACCCAAAAACUGACCUGACCACAUAGAAAAUGUACAGAGAAGAUGAGAGACACCAGAGCCAACGAUAAAGACAAAACUGAAGUCUUUAUCAGCUGGGCUUCCUGAACAUGUCAGCAGAGCCACAGACUGACCACCUCCACAUUGCACUGCAUCAAAACAGGCGGUCAUGCUUAUCAGCAGGCUGAUAUUUCUGUAUUUAAAAUAUUUUUAUUUUUGCUAUGUAAUGUAUUUGUGUUAUGUGAUAUUCUUAUUUGCUGAGAAAGCCACUUUGGGGGGUUUUGUAAAUUGUAAGUCAUAAUUAUCAGAAUUGUCACUUCUUGUAAUUAAUCAAUGUGAGUUUCACUUUCUGUAUUGAAUUACUGAAGUAAAUGAACCUUUUAUAAUGUAUUCAAAUGGAUCUGUAUGUCAGGUUCUUGUUCAGACUGUGAUGCACCAGUAGAAAUAAUAAAACUGGAGUCAUGAUGAUAUCUUACUCACAGUAAUUCCUUUAAAAAAAAUAAGAAAACAUGAGAUACAUUCGGAUCUGUGUUUAAAUUAGAAAAAUAUACGUCUUUUAUUACAUUUAAAAAGUUACAGUUAAUGCAUGCCAUGCAUGUUGGCACAAUACGGCUCCAGGAGUUUUUUGUUUAAGGCUGGUUGCAAAACAACAACAAAAACCUACAAAAAAAAAAAAAGAAAUAAAAAAA